UAAAGAGCCUAUCAAAACUGUC
rnacentral:siRNA from 1 species